GUGACGUAUAAUCUAGUGGACGGGACGCUCCUUCAACAACAGCUAGUCAGACACCUCGGUAGCUUUCUAGCAAACACAGCUACAACAUUCACGCUCUUUACACUGUUUUGGUGUAUAUUAGUCGCUGUGUAUUAAACACAUUUCUGUCGUAUGUACUUGUUGGCCCAUUUAAUUAUAUGUUUACGUUGUUUGUCAGCUAGCUUGUUUGCUAAGUUAGCUUAGAACUAGGCUAGUCGCUAAUGCUAACUAGCUAACAUCUCCGACCAUGAGUUCACUAAGCUACUCUCCUCCUGCUACAGAAGAGGAGGUCUGCUGGACGGAGAAAGAAGUUCUCGUGAAAGAGGAGGACGAAGAGGAGGCUGUUUCAAUACAAAAACAAGUUGAGGUUGUUACCGUGAAAGAAGAAGAGAAAGACGUUUCAGUGAAAGAAGAGGAAGACGCGUUCAGAGUGAAAGAGGAAGAGGAUGUUACAGUAAAAGGAGAGGAGGAUGCAAUUUUUGGAGUGAAAGAGGAGGAGGAGAUUACUGUCACAUUGGAGGAAGAAGAGGAGGUUGGAGAUCUAUUUAACACCAGUAAGUACCGUCUCUGCAGUCGUUGAACCAAUAUGCAGUAAAGAGGUUCUACACUUUAAUGUUGUUCUGUAGGAAUGGCUGAAGCUACACUGUAACGUGUAGAACAUCAAGAGUGGACCAUCAACAAAACGUUAACAAUUGAUCAAAUGCAUCCAAUGACAAUGCCUGAAAUACUGUAGUCCUCAAUAUCUCCUAUUAGAUUAGCCCAAUAUUUAGUCUUAAAGGGGCAAUCAGCAGUUGUUACAUCCAUUUUGGGACUUAUACAUUAAUGAUAUGUACCCAUUGUUUCUUGAAGAAAUCACUUAUAAAUGCCUCAUGAGCUUAGUUCAACUGUCGUACCCCAUCAGAACCCAAAAUAUGAGCUUUUUUUUACUCCAAUGUUUGUCAGUAAAUAUUAACAAACACUGUAUAUCCCCAAAACAUGGUUAAAACUAUAAUGUUGGUAUCAUGGAUGGUUGCAUUUCUCCAGCCCCAUCCCUCAGCUUUUUACCGAAACAGGCAGGGAGUACGCUUUGUUAUUGUUUCUACUGCUGAUUGCUGCCCCCGUUACUCCUCAAGGUCCAAGGACUGUAUGUUAUUUUCAGAGGUAGACUGGCUCUGGCAGCUAAAAUAGUCAAAUAUUCCAUCUAAAUGUGAAUCGAUUCUCAACGGGCAGGGAGUACGCUUUGUUAUUGUUUCUACUGCUGAUUCUCUGCCCCCGUUACUCCUCAAAAUAAUUUCACAUAAUACUUUCAUAUCACAUAACAAUUAUUUCACACGAUACUUUCAUAUCACAUCAAAAUAAUUUAAAAUACUUUAACAUCAAAAUAAUUUCACACAAUACUUUCAUAUCACAUCUAAAUAGGUAACCAGUCUGUAUAGAUAGAUAGCUAAGUGAAUUAAAUAUCACCAGCUACCUAACUUCAUAUUAGCUAUCUUGAUGUAUUUAUCACUGUAAAAAACUAACUCCAAAUGCAUUUGUAGGUAGCUAGCUACCAACAAUGGAGGAGGGUGAAAGGAUAGCAGCCCCAACUGUCAGUGAGAGAGGAGGCUAUUCUGGAUAGGGCAGGUACUUUUGUGUAGUUCCUGUCCCUAGAAGUGAGGACGGAGAUAAUAGUAACAUAAUAUUCAGUGUGGUGUAAUUUGACUAUAAAGAAGUGUGUUUCUUGUGAGGUUUUCUGUCCUCAGAUAAAGAGCGCUAUGAAAAGCCAGUCUACAUAUGAAGAGGUCCCAAUGAAGAGCAGUGGUUCUCAGUCCUGGGGACUCAGAGGCACAUUGUUGUUUUUGCCUCAGCACUGCACAGCUGAUUCAAAUGAUCAACUCAUUAUCAAGCUUCAAGUGAUACCUUGUAACUGGAGAUUCCUUCAAAACGAUUGCCUACAGUUACCGUGUAGGGCACUGCAAGGUUGGGUGACCAGGGUCAUCUGGGACUGCCUCCUGGAGGAAUUCAGAUGUGUGAAGGCUACCUGUGUCCUGCGUAACUUCAUGAGGAUGGACACGCGGACCAGGAGGGGAUCUGCAGAUCGCCGCCGUGUCCCAGAGGAGGAGUCUGCUGCUCUGCAGGAUGUUUCAAGGAUGGGGUCCAACAACGCAGCAAGAGAGGCAAUCCGUGUUCGGGAGAUCUUCACCUCCUACUUCUUCAAAGAGGGUGCUGUUCCCUGGCAACACCAUAGACUACACUAUGCACAACCAAAGGCUCUUUUAAGAGGGUGCUGUUCCCUGGCAACACCAUAGACUACACUAUGCACAACCAAAGGCUCUUUUAAGAGCCAUUCACAUUGCAAUAAGAGUAUUCUUCCAUUUACUUAGCAAUGUCAACUGCAGUUAUUCAAUUCACAGUUUCUCUCCCUUUAACUGUGGCUCCUUCCACCUUCAACGAAUAGGCAAGAGGGCCAACCAUAGAGAAUAGUUAUAUCAGCUGUGUCGGUGAACCCCUCCUGCAUCUGAACUGGCUACAUAGAGGGCACAGCAUGGUCAGAGAUAUGUUUUGAUGUGAGAGGAUGCCAACCCCCAGUCCCAUCAUCGCCACCUCACCUGCUUUGAAGAUAACCUUUGGGAAGACUAGAGACACUGUUAUGUAAUUGUGAUGAACUGAGAGAAUAUUUAUGUAGCACUGUGAUUCAUUAAUCAUGUGCUGCCUUCCCUGCUCCUAUGUGCUUACCUCUUUCCCUUUCUGUCUUUUACACCUCUCCCACCACCACCUCUUUCUUCCUCUGUUUUUAUAAUUCACAACAGAUGUGCAUUGAAGGACAGAUUGAACUUGUAUUUAUAACACUUGGAUAAUGAGCUUUUCAAUAAAGCGUUUCACAUUCUCUA